UACAGAGGUGGCAAGCGUUGUUCGGAAUUACUGGGCGUAAAGCGUGCGCAGGCGGUCUGUUAAGACCGAUGUGAAAUCCCCGGGCUUAACCUGGGAAAUGCAUUGGUGACUGGCAGGCUUUGAGUGUGGCAGAGGGAGGUAGAAUUCCACGUGUAGCAGUGAAAUGCGUAGAGAUGUGGAGGAAUACCGAUGGCGAAGGCAGCCUCCUGGGCCAACACUGACGCUCAUGCACGAAAGCGUGGGGAUCGAACAGG
rnacentral:rRNA from 1 species